CUGACAAGGGGUUGAACCUGUGCCCCCUGCAGUGAAAGCGUGGAGUCUUACCACUGGACCACCAGGGAAGUCCCAGAAAAUAUUUAAAAUGCUAUUGCCGUGUUUUAUUUAUUUACACAAAUGGGGUCACAUUUUAUGUAUCAUUUUUAUAUUUCUUUCUUUGAUUCAGUAAUGUGCCGUGACAAUAUUCCAUGUUGGUGAUCUCAACUUCUGUGACAGCUUCAGUUACCAUCUAUACAUGGAUGAUGACCAUAUCUCUCUCCAGACCAGAAUAUCCGACUGUUCACAUGGACAGCUCCACUGUGAUGUUUUGAAGACUCAGCAAAAUGCUGCCUUCUGCUCUUCCCCUCUUGCUCUUCCUCCAGUGUCCUGUCACAUGGUGAAACAUUGUCUUGUCCUGUAUAACAUGGUAGUUGAGAAUGUGACUCUGGAGCUAGCCUGAUGGGACCUGAAUUCUGACUCAGCCACUUACUAUGUGACCUUGGAUCACUGAGAGAGAAGUCAAGAUGCAGGCCCACUUUGCUUCCUCUAUUAACAUGGGCCUUGUUGAGACCAUUCGGUGAGGUCUUCAUUGUAGUGUAACUCACACUGUCAAAACACCACUGGUAACAAUGGUGUACUGUUUAAGAGGCCCUGUCCUAUCAUCCAAAUAAAACCUGUUGAUGUGUUCCAAGGAAUAAGCCAUGAUGGCGGCAGAGGUAAGAAGUGGAUUUAUUUAGAGAGAAACACCCUCCACAGACAGAGUGUGGGUCAUCUCAGAAGGCGAGAGCGGCCUUGGGAGAAACACACUCCACAGACAGAGUGUGGGCCAUCUUAGAAGGUCUCAAGGGUUUCCACAUCCGCAGACGGAAGAGCUUAAUCCUCCAUCAGUAUCCUCUGACAGCACAUUCAGUUGGGGGCAGUGUCUUAUCUUCCGACGUCCGUUCACCCUCAUGCUUCACACAUGCUCUGCCACUGAUGGUUUCUUAGACUCUGGCUUUCUUCAGGCCCUUGAUAUCAACCAGUUACCCUUUGGUCAGAGAUUAAGCCAUUCCACUACUCUCCCAGAGGCAUUUGCAUUUAGAACUACAGGUAUAAUAGAAAUAAUGGAAGAUGUUGCAUUCCUGAGGGAAGGCGAUCCUGGAAUGAAUUACUCAUUUGCUCAUUCUAGAACAUCCCAUCCUUCUGCCCUGCCACCCCCUCUCUCUAUUCCUGCUCACGCCACGGCAAACCCUACUUCCUCCAAGAAGACUUCCCCGACUCCUGUCCCUGGAUCCAGGUGAGGCCAGUUUUAGGGCUCUGAACAGAUUCCAUUUGGCUUCCCAGGUGAGGGUGGAGGUGGCAGGGAUGGAUCUCAGGAAGAUGUAGCUGCAGGAUGGAUGUGCAUUAGGUCAGUGCAUUUCAAACUUCCAGUGAAAAAUACAUCUUAUGUCCCAACUACCGCACACACCUACAUACAGAUAUAUAAAACUGAAACAAAAAUUUUGUAAAAAUAACACUCCCUACGUGUGAUGCAUUUGGAUAUUUUCUGUUCUAU